rnacentral:lncRNA from 1 species
UUGGCAAUUAUCUUAUUGACCCAUUUAGAAAUUCAAACAACAUUUCCUCCCAUUUGCGAUCGAUUUUCACAUUGCUUGUUUCAUCGACGAAUCCGGCCUCUCGUCCAUCUUCUCCAUCUCCGAAAUCGGGUACGGUGUGAAUUUUUGGUUGGAGCUCCCGAUGUCGUCCCACUCCAAAUCAAAAGUGGAAAGAUAAAAUAAAAAUACCCACCAGAGCUAUACAUACAGCCUCCUGUAUGUAUAUUAGUUUUGAGAGAGAGAGAGAGACAGAUCUAAGCUCGACCGGCUUCAACUUUUUCUCUCCAAAUCAGCUCAAUUUUGUAGUUUCUACGGGUAAUUUUUUUAAUUUUCUGUACCUUUUUUAAAUAACCAGGUGAGAAGGGUUCUAAAUGUUGGGGGAAUAUAGGUUUUUUUCGAUUGGUGGGUAAUGGUGGAAUGGAUUCAGUUUGCAUCUUCUCUAGUUAGUUUGCAUCCUCUGUAAUUUUCUCCCAAUUGUAUUACCCCAUUUAGGGACAAAUUCUUCUGUCUGAAUGUUUUCAUUAUUCUUCUUGUUAUUUUCAUUUGCAAACAACCCCUUUGGCGACCCAAACGUUAUUGGUGACUCUUAUUGCAUUCUCUUUGUAGGCCGUCUCUCUCCCCUCACAACUGAAGACACUCUCUGCCAGGUAUCCUUUUUCUUAGAUUUGUUAAUUUAUCCAAUUGAAUUGAAAUUAUUGGUUCUUUAAAGUUUUUUGAUCAUUUUGUUUCUCUUUGAAUAUGUAUGGUUCAAUUUAGGAUCAAUUUAUUACUUUUGUUUGUUUUCUCAAGUUAUGAGCAAAUAUGGAAGGGUCAAGAACUUGUGGCCGGUCAGACAUAUAGGUAAUUUCCCUUUAUGUUUUCCUUGAGUGUUUUUAACUGAAUAGACCCACAAGUUGUUUGGUUGAUUUCCUUAGAGGAAAUCCCCUACUUUAAUAUGUUUUAAGGCUUGGGAUGAAUGUUGCCUAGUACUAACAUAUAUUUCUUCCCUACUAAUUAGUGGAACUCUUUAGAUAUCGCCUAUCUUAAUAUACAUAUAUACGAGAUGAACGAGAUGUCGAGAUUUCAGUGAACGUGACAUUUCACAAGGAGAAAGGAUGGGCGGAGGAGUUUGGGAAAGGAAAGGACCCAACACAGCAUGUUUUAGUAAUUAGUUGUCGAACGAGUUGUAGUUGUGUUGUGUUCGUUUUGUAUUUGCUAUCGAGAAAUGGUGUUUUGAGAGCAACUAAGUAUUUGACAGAUGUUUACCAUAACAGCUCUGCACCAUUUUUAUAACUGUUGUAUGUGUUUUAUUUUUAUUCCUUGAGGCCUAAAGAAUUUACUCCUUUGCGUUUCAAGUAACAACUCUGUUUCGGCAUUACAUAAUAGCAUUUUAACGUGUUAGACCAGUCAGCAACAUAUGUGUGCAAAACAAGACCACUAGUUUUGGUAUAUUUUAAAUGAGAUGCUAACUUUCUAUGAGCAUGCAGUAAGUUAGCUUGAUCUCAGUAAAACUCAGUAAAACAAUAUGCAUUCAUGACAG